GACAGAGGAUGCAAGCGUUAUCCGGAAUUAUUGGGCGUAAAGAGCUCGUAGGCGGUUUGUCGCGUCUGCUUGUGAAAGACCGGGGCUCCAACUCCGGUUCUGCAGUGGGUACGGGCAGACUAGAGUGCAGGUAGGGGAGACUGGAAUUCCGUGGUGUAGGCGGUGAAAUGCGCAGAUAUCAGGAGGAACACCGAUGGCGAAGGCAGGUCUCUGGGCAUUAACUGACGCUGAGGAGCGAAAGCAUGGGGAGCGAACAGG
rnacentral:rRNA from 1 species